rnacentral:lncRNA from 1 species
GUAGGUAGGGACCAGCUUGUGACGGGCCUUUUGUAUAUACUGAGGACUUUGAACCUGAUAUUGUAGGCACUGAGAGCCAUUAGAGGAUGUUAAGCCACUGAUAUAAAGUUUUUAAUUUAAUAUUUAUUUAUUUAGAGACAGGGUCUCACCCUGUCAUCCAGGCUGCAGUGCAGUGGUGCAAUCGUAGCUCACUGCAGCCUUGCCCUCCCCAGGCUCAGGUGAUCCUCCCACCUCAGCCUCCCUAGUAGCUGGGACUACAGGCAUGCACCACCAUGCCCAGCUAAUUUUUACAUUUUUUGUAGGGAUGGGGUUUCGCCAUGUUGCCUAGGCUGGUCUUGAACUCCUGGGCUCAAGCAAUCCACCUGCCUCGGCCUCCCAACGUGCUGGGAUGACAGGCAUGAGCCACUGUGCCUGGCAGUUUUUAAUUUUAAAACAUCACUUUAGCAGCAACACAGAAGAGAGGCAAGUUGGAGUCAGGGAGACCAGGACAAUAUUGAAAUAGCAGUCUAGUGAGGAAAGAAGGCAGUGGCUGUAGGAAGGAAGAGGAGAAAGGAGCGGAUCUAAAGGACAUUAAGGAGGACAGAAUUGAAGUAAAUAGCGCAAGGACCAAUGCUGACCUCACGGUGGCACUCCAGUCUUCGAAUAAAGGGCUCUCUGGACUCAUCUUAUUGACCUCCAAAUGGACAGUCCACAUUGAAGUGAAGAGUUGACAUGAACUCUGGGCCCAUAGACCCCACAGUUUAAUUUCCUGAAGAGAAUCUACCAAGGACUUUGCUUUUCUGUUUUUAAAUCAGCUCUGACGUAAGGCUGGAUCAAUAGAAUAGGUGUCAAGUAUGCCCGAAUGUCUCCAUCCGUAAAAAAUUUCAUCAGGGUUCAAAAGUAACCAAAAUAAUUUCACCAUUAUUAUUUAUUAAUGGAUACCAUUUAUUGAAUGCCUGCUAUGUGCCACAUUGGGUUCAGGGUACUUUUCAUAUUAUAUGAGCUCAUUGAACUCACAAUAGCUCUAUGAGGUUGAUACUACAGUGUUCUCAUUUUUCUGAGAAGAAACUAGGGCUCAGAGACAUUAAGUAGCUUGCCUCUCACAUCAUAUAGGUAGUAAGUGGCCAUACUUGGUUUUGAACCCAAUCUGUGUGAUCCCCAAACUUGCGCUCUUUAAACAAGGCUGCAUUGCCUCUUAUUAUUGAUGCCAAGAUAAAAGCAGCAAUUAAUGAAACUUGGUUUUCUUCAGGUAUAGACUGUUUGGCAUGAGGUGGUUUAAAUAAUAUCAUAUUUAAGGAGAUCUAUUGCGGGCCCCUAUUGUGAAUUUGUGUCCUCUUCAUGAAACUCUUUGCCACAUAUGAGAAACAGGAUAUUUACAUAGUCACAAAGUGUGUCCCACAAGGUAUUGAUUAGUUACGAAGAGAAAAAUUGAAAAUUUACAGUGGAGCAACCUGGAAGAUACCAUGUGAAUGAAAUGGUCACAGUAUAAAUGGUAACAUAAAAGUGGUAAAAUAUCAAUAUGUACACCAUGGUCAUAUUCUUUUGCUUUUAUUGUGGAAGAGACAAAGGGACAAGGGAGGAUUUGCUGACACUGGUCAGGAGUGGAGUAGAGGACUAAUUCCUAUCUUUGAUCUCCAUCUGUGAAAGCCCAGAUCGCACAAAGAUUUCCAAAUGAAAUAUUUACAUUUCUAAGGGGUAGAGAAUUAUUCGUGAAUCCUAGACAAUAUACAAGGGAAGGCUCCCAAAAGAAAGAUACAAAUAAUAAAAUUCUAGAAUAAUGUUAUAGUACUGAUUGUAGGCUAUGGGGAGUGGGAGUUGGUUGUCCUACUAAUAAAAUGCUUAAUCAAGAGUGUAUGAUUUGUAAAUCAUAUUUGUUAAGCAUUUUUUAAUGCCUUACAGACUUCAAAGCCCUAAAACUUUUCUGCAUCUCUAGGGGUUAAUAUCAGCAUUUUGUAUAUUCUCAGCUUGAGAUAAUUACCAAUCUGCCUAUUUUUUAAAAGAACUGUCUUUUAGUGAGAAGGAUAAGAUGUCUGGAGAAGCUUUUUGUUCAACAUGUCAGUAUUUGCAUGAUUUACAGUGUAAUUAACCAGGCCCUGUAGCACAGGCAGACCGGCUCCCUUCACUAUUUAUCAUGUUUCCAGCAACUUCAGAUCAUCACCUCUGCUGGGAGGAAAUACGUCCUUCUUAGAGAUGUGAAAAUAUAUCCCCAACCAUUCCCACAGGCAGAAUGUGAUCUAUCCUUAUGUAUCUAUUAUUUCUCAUAUCUAAGGGCUCUUCCCCCUACCCCAUUAUUUUUAUACAGCAUUACUCUCAGAACUAAACUAGUUAAAUAAAUAUAAGGCCAGGCAUGGUACCUCACACCUGUUAUCCCAGCACUUGACGAGAGUCUGAGGCGGGUGGAUCACUUUGAGCUCAGGAGUUUGAGACCAGCCUGGGCAAGAUGACAAAACCCUGUCUCUACUAAAAAUCCAAAAAUUAGCCAGGUGUUUUGACGCGUGCCUGUAAUCCCAGCUACUCGGGAGGCUGAGGCAGGAGAAUCGCUUGACCCCGGGAGGUGGGGAUUGCAGUGAGCUGAGAUUGUGCCACUGCACUCCAGCCUGGGUGACACAGCAACACUCCAUCUCAAAAAUAAAAAAUAAUAAAUAAAUAAAUACAAAAUCUAAUACUACUUAGGAAUAAUUUUGUUAUUCAAUUGCUUAUAGUCACCAGCACAUAUUCGUUAAGGUAUAAUUGUGCUGUGUAAAAGACAAAGUCUGGUGACUCAAAAUCUAAAACAAAACACCUAUAUAGACAAAUAAUAUUAUUACAAAACUACUUUAAAUCUCUAUAUUAAAACAUUAUAGGUUUCAAAAAAACUUCAAAUGUGUUUACUUUUGGCCCAGUAAUCAUUUUAAGAAUUUAUCCUGAAUAUACACCUACGGCAAUAUGAAAAUACAUACGCACAAGUUUAUGUAUUGCAGCAUUGUUUGUAUUUGGGAAAUAAUUGAGAAAAUCUAAAUUCCCAUAUGGUUCUCUAGCAAGCAGACUCAGAAAAAAAUAGUCUCCUGUGGAGGAGAGUGGUUGAAUAAACUACAGUACAAGUACAUAAUAGAGUACUAUAAAUCUAUAAAAAAGAAUGAGGGGCCAGGUGCAGUGGCUCACGCCUGUAAUCCCAGCACUGUGGAAGGCUGAGGCAGGUGGAUCACCUGAGGUCAGGAGUUCGAGACCAGCCUGGUUAACAUGGUGAAACCUCAUCUCUACUAAAAAUACAAAAAUUAGCUGGGCAUGGUGGUGCAUGCCUGUAAUCCCAGCUACUUGGGAGGCUGAGGCAGGAGAAUUGCUUGAACCCAGGAGGCAGAGGUUGCAUAGCUGAGAUUGCACCACUGCACUCCAACCUGGGCGACAGAGCAAGACUCUGUCUCAAAAAAAAAAAAAAAUGAAGAUGUCUGUGAACCAAUAUAGAAUGAUUUCUAGGAUAUAUUAUUUAGUGAAAAAGGUAGAGUACAAAACAGUAUCUAUAGUAUGCUACUUUUUGUGUAAAAAAAAAAAAAAAGGAGUGAGAAAACAUACAUGUGUCUGCUUUUUUGACCAAAAAAGAAAACCGGGAAGGAUAAAUUAGAAAGUAAUGAGAUUGGUUACCUACAGGAAGUGGGUGGAAAUGAGGAGGAAAGGGUGAGGAGGCUGGGGACUGAGUGGAGGGGAUGGGGACUGACAGUUUUCUUGAAUAUUUCUUUUUGUAUGGGUCUACUUUUGGAACCAUGUUAAUGUUCAUAUACUAAAACACACAUACACACACACACACAAAUGGGGAGGGAAAUCCUAAAAUGGAAUACAAACAAAUCAACCUAACAGUUUCAAGUGAAUAAUAUAAUCACCCUGAAGAGCGGGUAUGUUGGUGGGGGGACUAACCCAAUCCAAGCAACUGCAGAAUAUAAUUUUUUUUUUUUAACUGUGUACUCUCAGACUAAAGACUAAAUGAACUGCAAAUGAAUAUUAAAUUUUAGUUACUUUUUUUUUUGCACUAGAGGGUGUCUUUUGGUAGCAGUUCUAAAACUACUUCUGUGUAUUCUGGAAUUGGGCAAAUAAGUACAUUUAUUAUAGAUAAUGGAAUUCAUUUUCCUCACAGAGAGAAGAGAGUUACAAAUUAGAACAGGACAAAAGUAGAAUGAAUCGUAUAGUGUUGGAUUAGACUUGGAAUGACAGUAUAAAACUCAUGUUUUUUAAGAAAGGUAUGAGAAUGUUUUUAUUGUGUACAUAUAAUCAUAUAUAUAUGCAUGUAUAUAUUCCCUGGCUCUAUUCACUGAGAAAUCCCAGACACAAUGACACCCCAAGAGCAAUGAGCACACCUGUCACUUAAAUCAUGAUUUCUAAUUUUGUUCACUAUUUAAAGGAACCAGAGCUCCUUGAGGAUUUGGCCAAUUCCAGGGAGGCUAGGGCUGGGGACGUACAGGAUGAGCCUUGCACAUUUUAUUAAGCUAGUAAGUUAGAAAGUACUUUAAAAAUAUAGGAUCAGGCAUCUCAAAAUGUCCAAGAGUUAUCCUGAAGGGAUUGCUGCUGGCCAAAUCUGGAAGAAUUAAGCAUAAAAAUAAAUAAUGAUAGUAAUGUAUUAUAACUCAUUGAAUAACAUGUGGGCAUAUAAAUAAGAGUAAAUAAAUGUGGGAGAAGGAAAAGUGAGUCCUUAUUGUACAAUAUCAACUAAUAAAUGUAGAAGGAAUAAUGGAAUUAGGAAAUCACUAUCUAGCAACCAUCGUGGUAAUAAUUGAAUCAUCGAUGGAUAGGAAAACUAGCAGGUCAAGUUUGGUUGAGAAAUGGGAUAUUUACAUAGUCACAAAGUAUGUCCCCCCCACAAGAUAUGUAUUAAUUAUAAGGAGAAAAAUUAUAAAUUUAGAGUGGAGAAAUAUGUCAGAUACUAUGUUAGCGAAAUGACCAAAAUGAUAAAGCAAACGUGGUAAAAUAGCAAUAUUUAGGAAAUUGGGUGAAGAAUAUACAGGAAUUUUUUUGUACAAUUUCUAUACCUUUUCUGUAAGUCUGAAAUUAAGAAAUAAAAAGAAAGAGAUAAGUAAAACACUUUUAAGGAUUACUAAGCUAUAGGAAGAUAAAGGCUGUAAUCAAUGUGUAGCAAGUAAAUUCUGCUCACCUUCCUAGCAGAACAGCUUAUAGAAGGUCUUAGUUGGGGUGUGGGGAGUGAGAAGAGGGCAAAUACCUUAUUAGAUGCUUCUUUAAACGCAAUUUUUAUUUUAUUUUUUGAGCUAGGGUCUUGCUCUGUUGCCAGGCUGGAGUACAAUGUUACAAUCAUAGCUCACUGCAGCCUCGACCUCUUCGGUGCAGGCAAUCCUGCUACCUCAGCCUACCAAGUAGCUUGGACUGUCAUCACCCACCACUACACCUGGCUAAUUACUUUUAUUUUUAUUUUGUAGAGAUGGUGUCUCUUUAUGUUGCCCAGGCUGGUCUUGAACUCCUGGCCUCAAGCAGUCUUCCCACCUCGACCUCCCAAAAUGCUGGGAUUACAAGUGUGAGCCACCACCCUUGGCAUGAACACAAUUUUUUAAAAUUGUUUUUUCAAAUGAAAGACUUUUGAAGUUUUUUUUUUUUAAACUCUGUAAUAGAAAUUCUGGGUUUCUAGUUUUUAAAAAAAAUAGAAUGAAAAUUUUAAUCCCAGAAGACCUAAAAAUUUAAGAGAGCAAAAAAUAAAGAAAUAGAGUAAUUUCUGUUCUCUUCCCAGAUAGUAAAUUUAAAUAAAAACUUCUGAUUAUGGCUGGGCACCGUGGCUCACGCCUGUAAUCCCAGCAUUUCGGGAGGCCGAGGUGGUUGGAUCACGAGGUCAGGAGAUCGAGACCAUCCUGGCUAACACGGUGAAACC